GCACUUUUGGCUCAACUGGAUAGAGGUUUGACUGGUGGGCAGACGUCCGGGGUUCGAGUCCCCGCUGGGGUA